ACAACUUCUGGCGAGGCUCUAACAAGCCGUAUCCCUCGCCAGCGGCCGAAAACUCACCUGUUGGCCGGGGCAUUGGCCUGUAGGUUCUACUGCUGCCACUGCCACUGCCGCUGCCGCUGCGGCUGCUUUUAUUUUCGGUCCAAUUAUGCUCAAGCCAUUAUUAUUACUUGCCAGCCAGGCACACUCGACCAGCAGCAGGUGCAAAGGUCACGCAAGUCACUUAAAAUGCGUUCACAGCUGAAAAUCUAGACCAGCAGCAAGCAAAGAUUCCUUGCAAGAUGAUCCGCAGGCGAAGCAUCAUUAGUGGCACACACAGAAAGAAACAAUCUAUCAAAUAUACCAAACCAACAAGAUGAUCACAGGCCAAGGAUCGUCAGCCUUCGUGCUGCUUCAUUUAAAUAUAAACAAUUAAGUAUCAAGUAUUCCAUGACGAACCUCUGCGCAUAAUCAAAGACCCAUAGAAAUAAUCAAUCUAUCAAAAUGUUUGCAGAUCUCUGAAACGGAAACCCAAAGAGUGUGGCAAGCAAAGAAGGUCACAGAAAGGAGCAUCGAAACGGAUGAGGAUGAGGAUGCGGAUGCGCCUAGCCCAGCCUAGUCACAGGCCCCGUCGACACAAUCAAUCUUGUGUGCUGCUAGAUCUGGAUUAGACUGCCUCGUCCGAUCUGCAUACGCUCUGCAUAAUAUGCUCAUGCAUCAUCUGAGCGACACCAACCGACUGGCAUAAUUGCCAAUAUUCCUUGG